GAUGAACGCUAGCGGCAGGCCUAACACAUGCAAGUCGAGGGGUAUGGCAGCAAUGCCAGAGACCGGCGCACGGGUGCGUAACGCGUAUGCAACCUACCUUUUACAGGGGGAUAGCCCAGAGAAAUUUGGAUUAAUACCUCAUAGUAUAUUUUAGUGGCAUCACUAGAUUAUUAAAGUUCCAACGGUAAAAGAUGAGCAUGCGUCCUAUUAGCUGGAUGGUAAGGUAACGGCUUACCAUGGCUACGAUAGGUAGGGGUCCUGAGAGGGAGAUCCCCCACACUGGUACUGAGACACGGACCAGACUCCUACGGGAGGCAGCAGUGAGGAAUAUUGGACAAUGGGCGCAAGCCUGAUCCAGCCAUGCCGCGUGCAGGAAGACGGUCCUAUGGAUUGUAAACUGCUUUUGUACGGGAAGAAACACUCCUACGUGUAGGAGCUUGACGGUACCGUAAGAAUAAGGAUCGGCUAACUCCGUGCCAGCAGCCGCAGUAAGAC
rnacentral:rRNA from 1 species